UUAGAUAAAAAGAUGGCUAUUUCUUUAUCUCCACUUAGCAUAUUAAAGGUAAGGCAGAGGGAGAGGUGGAAGUGAAAAAGUUUCUAAGUAUAGAAAAAUAUGAUUUACUAUACUUUUUAUUUUUUGUUAUUUCUUCUAAGUGGAGAUAAAAGAGAAUUUGGGGUAAAAUGAAAAUUGGACAUAAAUUUACCCAAAAAAAGGCAUCUUUCAGGGUGCAGUGACUUGCACUUUUAAUCCCAGCUACUUGGGAGGUUGAGGCAGGAGGAUCAUUUGAGCCCAGGAGGUGGAGCCUAUAGUGAGCUAUGAUUGCACCACUAUACUUCACCCUGGGUGACAGAGCAAGACCUUAUCUCUUUAAAAAAAAAGGC
rnacentral:lncRNA from 1 species